CACAGCACAGCUGCGUCCAGACAGAGCCGCGGACCACGAGGGAGGCGGGGGUCCAGGGACGCCACUGUUGCGACGCAGAGGUCCAAGCGUCGCCGCAAGGCGUGCCGACCGUGGAGCCCAGGGCAUAUGAUUGGCCGUCCCUUGCAACGUUCAUGCGGCAGGCCUACCCAAAGAUGUUGCAGGAGCUCGAGAAAUCAUCGCGCAGCAGCGCCUUUCGUGGCUACAGGCUGCUGGCCGACACUUGCGAAGGCAGUGCGUCCCGGCUCUACUGCAACAUGACGUUGCCCCGAGAGCUUGUCUGCACUGGCUCUUCAUGGAAUGCCACUGGCUCCGUCAUAGCCCUUUCAUAUCCUUUUGACUUUGC